rnacentral:rRNA from 1 species
AUUGAACGCUGGCGGCAGGCCUAACACAUGCAAGUCGAGCGGAUGAAGGUAGCUUGCUACCUGAUUCAGCGGCGGACGGGUGAGUAAUGCCUAGGAAUCUGCCUGGUAGUGGGGGACAACGUUUCGAAAGGAACGCUAAUACCGCAUACGUCCUACGGGAGAAAGUGGGGGAUCUUCGGACCUCACGCUAUCAGAUGAGCCUAGGUACGAUUAGCUAGUUGGUGAGGUAAAGGCUCACCAAGGCGACGAUCGUUAACUGGUCUGAGAGGAAGAUCAGUACCCCUAGAACUGAGACACGGUCCAGACUCCUACGGGAGGCAGCAGUGGGGAAUAUUGGACAAUGGGCGAAAGCCUGAUCCAGCCAUGCCGCGUGUGUGAAGAAGUUCUUCGGAUUGUAAAGCACUUUAAGUUGGGAGGAAGGGCAGUAAGUUAAUACCUUGCUGUUUUGACGUUACCGACAGAAUAAGCACCGGCUAACUUCGUGCCAGCAGCCGCCGUAACAC